rnacentral:rRNA from 1 species
AACGAACGCUGGCGGCGUGCCUAACACAUGCAAGUCGAACGGAUUGAAGGGGCUUGCCCCUUCAGUUAGUGGCGCACGGGUGAGUAACGCGUAGAUAAUCUGCCUGAUGAUCUGGGAUAACAGUUCGAAAGGACUGCUAAUACCGGAUAAGCCCACGUGGUCUUUGGACCGUGCGGGAAAAGGGGGGGACCUUCGGGCCUUCUGUCAUCAGAUGAGUCUGCGUACCAUUAGCUAGUUGGUAGGGUAAUGGACUACCAAGGCUACGAUGGGUAGGUGGUUUGAGAGAAUGUUCGGCCACACUGGAACGGAGACACGGUCCAGACUCCUACGGGAGGAAGCAGUGGGGAAUUUGGCGCAAUGGGCGAAAGCCUGACGCAGCAACGCCGCGUGAGUGAUGAAGGCUUUCGGGUCGUAAAGCUCUGUCGAGGGUAAAGAAGUGUAUUUUGGUUAAUACCCGCGAUACUUGACGGUACCCCUAAAGGAAGCACCGGCUAACUCCGUGCCAGCCGCCGCCGUAAAAC